ACGCUGACAGAAUGCUUAACACAUGCAAGUCGAUGAUGGGAGCUAGCUUGCUAGAAGAAGUCAUGGCGGACGGGUGAGUAACGUGUAAAGAACUUACCAUAUAGACUGGGAUAACAGAGGGAAACUUCUGAUAAUACUGGAUAAGUUAGUAGUAGCAUUACUAAGUAAUGAAAGGUAGUAAUACGCUAUAUGAGAGCUUUGCAUCCUAUUAGCUAGUUGGUGGGGUAAAAGCCUACCAAGGCGAUGAUAGGUAGCCGGCCUGAGAGGGUGGACGGCCACAAGGGGACUGAGAUGCGGCCCUUACUCCUACGGGAGGCAGCAGUGGGGAAUAUUGGACAAUGGAGGCAACUCUGAUCCAGCAAUUCUGUGUGUGUGAAGAAGGUUUUAGGACUGUAAAACACUUUUAGUAGGGAAGAAAGAAAUGACGGUACCUACAGAAGAAGCGACGGCUAAAUACGUGCCAGCAGCCGCGGUAAUACGUAUGUCGCGAGCGUUAUCCGGAAUUAUUGGGCUUAAAGGGCAUCUAGGCGGUUAAACAAGUUGAAGGUGAAAACCUGUGGCUCAACCAUAGGCUUGCCUACAAAACUGUAUAACUAGAGUACUGGAAAGGUGGGUGGAGCUACACGAGUAGAGGUGAAAUUCGUAGAUAUGUGUAGGAAUGCCGAUGAUGAAGAUAACUCACUGGACAGCAACUGACGCUGAAGUGCGAAAGCUAGGG
rnacentral:rRNA from 1 species